CGGAACGUGCCCAGUAGCGGGGGAUAACUACGCGAAAGCGUAGCUAAUACCGCAUACGCCCUUCGGGGGAAAGCAGGGGAUCGUAAGACCUUGCACUAUUGGAGCGGCCGAUAUCGGAUUAGCUAGUUGGUGAGGUAAUGGCUCACCAAGGCCGCGAUCCGUAGCUGGUUUGAGAGGACGACCAGCCACACUGGGACUGAGACACGGCCCAGACUCCUACGGGAGGCAGCAGUGGGGAAUUUUGGACAAUGGGGGAAACCCUGAUCCAGCCAUCCCGCGUGUGCGAUGAAGGCCUUCGGGUUGUAAAGCACUUUUGGCAGGAAAGAAACGGCGCGUGCUAAUACCAUGCGCAACUGACGGUACCUGCAGAAUAAGCACCGGCUAACUACGUGCCAGCAGCCGCGGUAAUACGUAGGGUGCAAGCGUUAAUCGGAAUUACUGGGCGUAAAGCGUGCGCAGGCGGUUCGGAAAGAAAGAUGUGAAAUCCCAGGGCUCAACCUUGGAACUGCAUUUUUAACUACCGGACUAGAGUAUGUCAGAGGGAGGUGGAAUUCCACGU
rnacentral:rRNA from 1 species